ensembl:snoRNA SNORA70 Small nucleolar RNA SNORA70
CUGCAGCCAAAUAAGCCUGCUGGGUUCCUUCCUUCAUGGCUUCCUGGUGUGCAAUAUCUGCUGACAACAGCCUCCUUGGGAGUGUAUAUAAUCUAUUGCUUGUACAAGUGGCCCUAAGUGACCUUGGAGACUGAU